AAAGGAAUAGACGGGGACCCGCACAAGUGGUGGAGCAUGUGGUUUAAUUCGAAGAUACGCGAAGAACCUUACCUAGCCUUGACAUUGAUAGAAUCUUCCAGAGAUGGAGGAGUGCCUUUCGGGGAACUUGAAAACAGGUGCUGCACGGCUGUCGUCAGCUCGUGUCGUGAGAUGUUGGGUUAAGUCCCGCAACGAGCGCAACCCUCGUCCUUAGUUGCCAGCAGGUUAAGCUGGGCACUCUAAGGAGACUGCCUUCGUAAGGAGGAGGAAGGUGAGGACGACGUCAAGUCAUCAUGGCCCUUAUGGCUAGGGCUACACACGUGCUACAAUGGGGCGUACAGAGAGUUGCGAUACCGCGAGGUGAAGCCAAUCUCAUAAAGCGUCUCUCAGUUCGGAUUGUUCUCUGCAACUCGAGAGCAUGAAGCUGGAAUCACUAGUAAUCGUAGAUCAGCAAUGCUACGGUGAAUACGUUCCCGGGUCUUGUACACACCGCCCGU
rnacentral:rRNA from 1 species